rnacentral:tRNA from 1 species
GGCUUUGCGCCGUUAAGCGACAGUUUCCUAAUCUGUGCGUCGUGGGUUCGAGUCCCACCGUGGCGCGCCA